rnacentral:rRNA from 1 species
UAGGGACACAUUUGAAGUCUCGGAGCCGGGUGUUGGUUCCGGUAGCGAUCGAGGGAAGUUAGUACCGAAGUCCGGGAUGGAAGAUGGCGAGAAAAGCUGUGUGUAUUUCUGCGGUGCCCGUACCGCAAACCGACACAGGUAGGUAGGAAGAAGAUUCUAAGGCCAACGGGAGAAGGGUUGUUAAGGAACUCGGCAAAUUGACCCCGUAACUUCGGGAGAAGGGGUGCUCUAGAGGUAGAGCCGCAGAGAAUCGGCCCAAGCAACUGUUUACCAAAAACACAGGUUUGUGCUAAAUCGAAAGAUGACGUAUACGAGCUGACGCCUGCCCGGUGCUGGAAGGUUAAGAGGAGAUGUGCAAGCAUUGAAUCGUAGCCCCAGUGAACGGCGGCCGUAACGAUAACGGUCCUAAGGUAGCGAAAUUCCUUGUCAGGUAAGUUCUGACCCGCAUGAAAGGCGUAAUGAUUUGGGCACUGUCUCGACAGCCCGCCCGGCGAAAUUGUAGUACCGGUGAAGAUGCCGGUUACCCGCGACAGGACGGAAAGACCCCAUGGAGCUUUACUGUAGCCUAAUAUUGGGUUUCGAUGUUGCAUGCACAGGAAAGAUGGGACACUGGGAAGCAAGUGCUUUGGCAUUUGUGGAGUGGCCGUUGGGAUACCAUCCUUGCGAUAUUGGAAUUCUAACCUGCGCCUUUGAAUCAAGGCGGGGGACAUUGUUAGGUGGGCAGUUUGAUUGGGGCGGUCGCCUCCUAAAGAGUAACGGAGGCGUUCAAAGGUUCGCUCAGCUUGAACGGAAAUCAAGCAAAAGAGUGCAAACGCAGAAGCGAGCCUAACUGCGAGACUGACGGGUCGAGCAGUAACGAAAGUUGGAGAUAGUGAUCCGGUGGUAUGUGAGUGGAAAUGCCAUCGCUCAACGGAUAAAAGUUACCCUGGGGAUAACAGGCUGAUCUCCCCCAAGAGUCCACAUCGACGGGGAGGUUUGGCACCUCGAUGUCGGCUCAUCGCAUCCUGGGGCUGUAUUCGGUCCCAAGGGUUUGGCUGUUCGCCAAUUAAAGCGGUACGCGAGCUGGGUUCAGAACGUCGUGAGACAGUUCGGUCCCUAUCUGUCGUGGGCGCAGGAUAUUUGAUGGGAGCUGUUCCUAGUACGAGAGGACCGGAGCGGACGUACCUCUGGCGCACCAGUUGUUCUGCCAAGGGCAUAGCUGGGCAACUAUGUACGGAUCGGAUAAACGCUGAAAGCAUCUAAGCGUGAAGCCGACCCAAAGAUAAGAUAUCCCAUUGUUUCAAACAAGUAAGACCCCUUGAAGACUACAAGGUUGAUAGGCAUGAUGUGUAAGUGGAGUGAUCCAUUCAGCAAGCAUGUACUAAUAGGUCGAGGGCUUGAUCAA